AAAAUAUGAGAGCUAAGGGGACAAGUAAAUGGGACGACUAAAAAAUAAUGGUCCCCGAAACCUUUAACUAAAAUUGUAGACGGACAAAAAAAAUUAUCGUCCCCAAUUCAUCUAAAACUCUACAAUAGGGGACGAUAAUUCAAUUGUUCUUCUCGGGACGAAAUUAAAUUUCUUUUUUUCGCACCCUUCUGUUUGUUUUCAGUUUUUAAAUUGAUAAUAAAACCCUAAAACUCAAAUUAGAAUCAAACAAGAAAUAAAUACUCCCUUCUCAAGAUCCAAAAAACUCUUAUCUUUCUCUCUAUCAAUCUAAUCUGUCACUUGUUUGGUCAAUUGAUCUUAAUGUCUGCACAUUAGAAGUUUGAAUAGCAAUCUGUUGUAAGUAGGAGAGGCUAUAUGAUUCUAGAGCAUUUUGUUGUUUUUGAUUGUAGAGAAAAAAUUAACUUUUUUUCUUGUAUUGAAGUAAUUUGUUUAUUUUCUUCAUUGAUUUUAUGUUUAACACAUCGAAUCUCUUCUAUUCUCUGCCAUGGCUUUCAGGUGCAGUUUCGUUUUCUUUAUCUCUGUGUAUUUGUGUGAUCUAUUGCUUCAAUUCUAAUUUCAGUAUUAUCUAUCUAUUUGUCUUAAUAAAAAUAAUUGCUGAUUUGAGAUUAUUCUUAACUUAGGGUUUGAUAGCUUUUGAAUUCUGUUUCUAUAAUUUUAUUUGUUUCAAAUUGACGCUUGUUGUAAAAAUUAUAAUACUGCAUGAAUAAAUAAUUUAACUUUUUGUAUCAUCGAAUAAUUUAUGAAGCCCUUUUUGUUUUAGAUCCAUAAUUAUAUAUGUUUCCUUUGUUAUGAUGUUGUGGAAGAGUACUCCCUUUCUUGAAAUCAUUGAUAUGAGAUUUUAGUAGAAUUUUAGUUUUUCCUUUGCUUUCUUACAAGAGGAAAAUAAAAGUAGUCAUUAAAAAAAAUCACUUUUUUUAAUGAAAAUGUUACUACCAGUGGUCAAGUUGCAUAUGGUACUUGACUACUUGUUCAAAAUCACUUUUUUUUGAUAGCUUUUGAACAGGAGUACUGGUUGUGGUUUUCCUUCAUCUUGAAGGUAAGUCCUUCUUAGAUACAUGUGUUUGCAUAAAUUUCUGUCAGUUUAGUUGAUGCUACAAUUUAAUUAGAUACCUUCAGUUGAUGCCAUUUUUACUGCUGGUUAUAACUUAUAAGGUUAUUUUACACAUUCAUUAUGCAGUUGAAGAAUGUCAAACUGUUAAGUUGCUUCAACAGAUCAUUCCAAAGACGGACAAUAUUUUGAAAAGGAAAGUACUCUUUGUAAAGAAUGGCGUUGUUUGUGCCGUAUAUAUUCAGGUAUAUGAUUCAGCCCACUUCUCUAGGAAAUAGCAAUGCUUUAGUCCUUUUCUAUUUAGGAGGUAAACAGUUAUUUCAAGAUGCAACUCGGAUACAUUUUCAGACAUGUAUUAGUUCAGCGGUUGGUUUAACUCUUAUUUAGUUCAAGCAACGCUAUGUAAAACAAAAGUGAUUUUUUUUAAUGGAAAUGUUACUACACUGCUCUUGGAUAACCAAGUUAUUCCUCUUUGUUGGUACAAUGCAUAUUGUGCAUUACCAUGAUUGCAGCAGCAUGAACCUUAAAGGAACUAAGGUAAAUUUAUCUGCAUAGUAUGCGGACACAACUUAACGUCACCCCUACAUCGACCUCGGAUAGAAGCAACAAUAGUGUAAGGCAACAUCAAAAGGACAACGCGUGCUCUUGUGAAAAAGUAUCAUUUUCAUGAAGACUCUUAAUGAAGUUAACGUUAUUUUUUUAUUAUCUAUAUUUGAUUAUCUUAGGACAUUUAGUUGUUUAUUAAAAUUUUUUCAAUAGACUUAUUUUUAACAUGUAUUGUUAUAUCAGACAUAAUUUUUAAUGCAAUGAAUUAUUUUAUGUUUAA